CACAACUGAUGUCAUGGGACGUGGUUUCAUUUUGACAACAGUCUACAUUUUAGGUCUGUAAACGUCUGACAACUUUAUUUAUGAGUGAAAUGUCCCUUAAUCUUAUUAUUAUUUGGUAGCAUUAGGAAGCAUGCCACUGAUCUCAGAUGAUUUGUGUCUUGCAGGCGAGUUGUUCCUUGUUCACACAGACACAUGGAGAGUGGCCUUUGCAGUAAUUGUCUCGCUGGGAAUUGUCCUUGUUGCCAUAUUAGCUUUCACCGUCUACCGCUGGAAUGGUUUGCGCAAUGACUACGAGCAAGUUACAAUUGAACACAGCCUUCAGUUGCAUGCAUCCAAAGCUGAACACAGUCAAGAGAUAGGUAAGU